rnacentral:tRNA from 1 species
GGGGCUGGGGCUCAGUGGCAGAGUGCUCACCUAGCACGUGUGAGGCACUGGGUUCGAUCCCAGCACCA